AUUGAACGCUGGCGGCAGUCCUAACACAUGCAAGUCGAACGAGUGGCGGACGGGUGAGUAAUGUCUGGGAAACUGCCUGAUGGAGAGGGAUAACUACUGGAAACGGUAGCUAAUACCGCAUACCAUCGGAUGUGCCCAGAUGGGAUUAGCUAGUAGGUGGGGUAACGGCUCACCUAGGCGACGAUCCCUAGCUGGUCUGAGAGGAUGACCAGCCACACUGGAACUGAGACACGGUCCAGACUCCUACGGGAGGCAGCAGUGGGUAAUAUUGCACAAUGGGCGCAAGCCUGAUGCAGCCAUGCCGCGUGUAUGAAGAAGGCCUUCGGGUUGUAAAGUUCUUUUAUAUGGGAAGCGGUACCAUAAGAAAAAGCCCCGGCUAACUACGUGCCAGCAGCCGCGGUAAUAC
rnacentral:rRNA from 1 species